rfam:Pteropus vampyrus cont1.66957, whole genome shotgun sequence.
GUGAGGGGCUGGGCGACUGUAGAGAAGGCGAAUGGGGAAUGCACGCCCCAAGAGCGAAGGCAAACAGCUGUGGAGGCGCUGCCCGAGGCUCAGGCUUCCCAACAGGUUAGCUAGACGAGAAUCCACUAGGCAUUUCGCAGGAAAGGGGGGGUGGGGAAGAGACUGAGCGAGACGAGGAGAGAGCCUCACAGGAAAACAGAGGGAGGGAGGGAAAGAG